ACGGGGUGCAGCAGGCGAGAAAACUUUGCAAUGUGCGAAAGCACGACAAGGUUAAUCCGAGUGUUUUCUGCUAAAGAAAUCUUUUGUUAGUUCUAAAACCACUAUCGAAUAAGGGGUGGGCAAGUUCUGGUGUCAGCCGCCGCGGUAAAACCAGCACCUCAAGUGGUCAGGAGGAUUAUUGGGCCUAAAGCAUCCGUAGCCGGCUAUGUUAGUUUUCGGUUAAAUCCAUGUGCUCAACACAUGGGCUGCCGAAAAUACUGUAUAGCUAGGGAGUGGGAGAGGUAGACGGUACUCGGUAGGAAGGGGUAAAAUCCUUUGAUCUAUCGAUGACCACCAGUGGCGAAGGCGGUCUACCAGAACACGUCCGACGGUGAGGGAUGAAAGCUGGGGGAGCAAACCGGAUUAGAUACCCGGGUAGUCCCAGCUGUAAACUAUGCAAACUCAGUGAUGCAUUGGCUUGUGGCCAAUGCAGUGCCGCAGAGAAGUCGUUAAGUUUGCCGCCUGGGAAGUACGUACGCAAGUAUGAAACUUAAAGGAAUUGGCGGGGGAGCAC
rnacentral:rRNA from 1 species